GGAAUUAUUUUUUUUCAAAUGUGUCCAUUGUCAGAUGUUGAGGAGCAUUAUGGAGGCUCAGGACCAACUGGAGAGAAAAUACAUCAGUAAGAAGGAGGAGCACAGAGCUCUGGAGAUGCAAAACUACAUGGGCCUGUGCAGGAACACUGGCACCUUUGACCCAAACAGGUAAAAGACACGUUAUCACACCCGUGUGAAUGUGUCAGCAUCAUGUUAAUGCAUCCAUUCACGUGUACGUUUGUGCAGGCUAGUGGAGGGAGACAUAUUCAGGAUAGGGAUGCACCUUGAGGACAUAAAGGAGAUGAUAGACAAAAACGUGUGUGAGCAGAUUUCUCCACCCCACUCAUCCUCCACUCCCACGCACAUGAAAGAGAUGCUGCAUGUGAAGCCCAGUCCUCUCUGCAUGCCCACACCCUCACCUCCACCAUCCCUGCAUGAGAGGCCAAGUGCAGAUUUUUCCACUUUGGCUUACAAGAUGGAGGCACAGAAAGAGGAAGAAGAAGAGGAGGAAGUGGAGGAGGCCAGUGAUGUCCAUGAAGAUGAAGCAUUACAGCAAAGCAGUGAACUCAUAACAACUCACUCUUUACUGAAAAAUACUGAACACAGCUCCUGCCAUAAAAGGCACGUUCUCAGCCUUCCCUGGGCAGAUAGAGUUUCAGGUGCAGUGUUGGUGUUGGGUUCCACCGAGUGUUUGAGUCUCUGUGCACAAGUUUACUUCUCUGUCCUGUAUCAGGAGCUCACUGGGCUCUCUGGAGGGACUGGAAAUCCAGACAGCUGAAGCUGAAGAAGAGAGGAGCUGUGUCUCCUCAGAGGCGAGAGAUCACAGUAACAUCUUAGCACACCUGAGUGGAAGCAUCUCGUCCUCAAGACUGAAGCAGUGGACACCCGACAGGUUAGUGAUGUGAUAUUAAAGUCUACCUGACCGAACGAGAGAGCUAACUGUGACCCUCUGCAAGUAAUCCAUCUUGUAAUCCU
rnacentral:lncRNA from 1 species